AUGACACGCUUCCGUAACACCCUCAAUACCUGUGAGCUGAAAGAAAUACACCUACAAAACAGGAAGUACACUUGGAGUAAUGAGCAAAGUGAUCCAACCUUAUGCAAACUCGAUUCGUUUUUCUGCAAUGAAGAUUGGGACAUCGACUUUGGCAGUCAUCUACUUCAUGCCCUCUCUUCAUCCCUCUCUAACCAUUGCCCUCUCCUCCUCGCAAAUGUCCAAGGGCCACCUAAGUCAAAGUAUUUCCGCUUUGAGAAUUUCUGGACUAAAAUGCCCAUAUUCAAGGAGAUCGUUCAAGGCGCUUGGAACCAAAGGGUGAACCACUCUGACCCCUAUCAGAUCCUAUUCCACAAGCACAAGAAAACCAGCCAAGCACUAAGGAAAUGGAGCAAGACGAUUUUUGCACACUCAAAGGUGCAGCUGUUCAUGGCUCUGGAGGUCAUUCUCCGCCUAGAUGUGGCACAAGAGCUCAGGCCUCUCAGUGUGGAGGAGCGUGACAUU
rnacentral:rRNA from 1 species